CGAGCACGCGCGUGUGGCAUAUCAAUAAGCGGAGGAAAAGAAACUAACAAGGAUUCCCUUAGUAACGGCGAGUGAAGCGGGAAGAGCUCAAAUUUGAAAUCUUCAAGGUUCUACCUUGACGAAUUGUAGUUUAAUAGAAGUGUUUUCUGUUAGUAGGAGUGGCAAAAGUUCUUUGGAAUAGGACAUCAUAGAGGGUGAGAAUCCCGUAUUUGGUCAUUCCUCCUAGCGUUGUGAUACACUUUCAACGAGUCGGAUUGUUUGGGAAUGCAGUCCAAAAUGGGUGGUAAAUUUCAUCUAAAGCUAAAUAUUGGCGAGAGACCGAUAGCGAACAAGUACCGUGAGGGAAAGAUGAAAAGAACUUUGAAAAGAGAGUUAAACAGUACGUGAAAUUGUCAAAAGGGAAGCGUUUGACACCAGUGUUGUUUUUCCGAAAAUCAAUUACGAAUGUUUUAGUUUUUGAGGAGUUAUGACUUCAUCGGCUUGCUCCUUUCUUUAUGAAACUUUCUUAAUGCACUUUUCGGUUAACAAGUCAACAUCAAUUUCUUUUGUUGUAAAAGGGUAUGAGGAAGGUGGCUUUCUUUUCGGAGAAAGUGUUUAUAGCCUUGUGCCUCUACAAUCGGAGAGAUUGAGGUCUGCAGCGUAGAUCCUUCGGGGUUAGAUACAUUUGUGCUAAGUUAUAGCCUUUCAUAGACAACUUGUUGACUAUGUUUAGUCAUUGUAGCUUACUCGCUUACGGCUAUUUUACCUACGCUUAGGAUGUUGAUGUGAUACUGCGAGCA
rnacentral:rRNA from 1 species